UGGGUGUUCAGGUUGGUGCUCCAGGCCCUCCUGCUCGGUCAGCAGAAGGACACCGGGGUCAGGACACCCUGGGUGGGCUCCGAUGCCAGGUGGCCAUCGCACGGGGUCACAGCAGGAGCGAUGGAGACCCCUGCUCGUCCCUCGCUGGGCUCCGGUAAGGAAGGCGAGUGGCAGCUUCAGCUCGCAGACGAUCCUCAGCCAGAGGAAGGCUAAACUCGCCGUGAAUUAUUUAUCCGCUAUGAAUUAUUUGCUCCGCUCUGUCAUGGAAGGAAAAA